CAAUAGCGUACAUUAAAGUUGUUGCGGUUAAAAAGCUCGUAGUUGGAUCUCGGCAGGCAGGGGGUGGUUCGCUCUUAGCGCUACUGCCCCAUUUGCCUGUGUGAUUGGCGGAGGUUUCGGGGUGCUCUUCGUUGAGUGACCCGGGGCGCCGUCAGGUUUACUUUGAAAAAAUUAGAGUGCUCAAAGCAGGCUUUUCACGCUUGAAUAUUCGUGCAUGGAAUAAUGGAAUAGGAACUCGUUUCUAUUUUGUUGGUUUUCGGAAAUCGAGUUAAUGAUUAAUAGGGACAAUUGGGGGCAUUAGUAUUCAGACGACAGAGGUGAAAUUCUUGGACCGUCUGAAGACUAACUACUGCGAAAGCAUUUGCCAAGAGUGUUUUCAUUAA
rnacentral:rRNA from 1 species